GACGAACGCUGGCGGCGUGCUUAACACAUGCAAGUCGAACGAUGAGCCCGGAGCUUGCUCCUGCUGGAUUAGUGGCGAACGGGUGAGUAACACGUGAGCAAUCUGCCCCGAACUCUGGGAUAAGCGUUGGAAACGACGUCUAAUACCGGAUACGACGCGCGAAGGCAUCUUCUGCGCGUGGAAAGAACUUCGGUUCGGGAUGAGCUCGCGGCCUAUCAGCUAGUUGGUGAGGUAACGGCCCACCAAGGCGACGACGGGUAGCCGGCCUGAGAGGGUGACCGGCCACACUGGGACUGAGACACGGCCCAGACACAUACGGGAGGCAGCAGUGGGGAAUAUUGCACAAUGGGCGCAAGCCUGAUGCAGCAACGCCGCGUGAGGGACGACGGCCUUCGGGUUGUAAACCUCUUUUAGUAGGGAAGAAGCGAAAGUGACGGUACCUGCAGAAAAAGAACCGGCUAACUACGUGCCAGCAGCCGCAGUAA
rnacentral:rRNA from 1 species